GGACCCGUGGCCUAGCAUGGAUGGGGCGACUGCCUCCUAAGCAGUAGAUCGUGAGUUCAAAUGCAAACAGACCUGCGCAA
rnacentral:tRNA from 1 species